rnacentral:rRNA from 1 species
CAGCCGUAAACUAUGCGCGUUAGGUGUAUCGGUGACCACGAGUUACCGAGGUGCCGAAGGGAAACCGUGAAACGCGCCGCCUGGGAAGUACGGUCGCAAGGCUGAAACUUAAAGGAAUUGGCGGGGGAGCACCACAACAGGUGGAGCCUGCGGUUUAAUUGGACUCAACGCCGGGAAGCUCACCGGAUAGGACAGCAGAAUGAUUGCCGGGCUGAAGACCCUGCAUGACUAGCUGAGAGGUGGUGCAUGGCGUCAGUGACU